AACGAACGCUGGCGGCGUGCCUAACACAUGCAAGUCGAACGGAAUGAGGGGGCUUGCUCCUUCAUUUAGUGGCGCACGGGUGAGUAACGCGUAGAUAAUCUGCCUGACGAUCCGGGAUAACACUUCGAAAGAGGUGCUAAUACCGGAUAAGCCCACGGGUUCUUUGGAAUCUGCGGGAAAAGGGGGGGACCUUCGGGCCUUCUGUCGUCAGAUGAGUCUGCGUACCAUUAGCUAGUUGGUAGGGUAAAGGCCUACCAAGGCGACGAUGGUUGGCUGGGCUGAGAGGAUGAUAAGCCACACUGGAACUGAGCCACGGUCCAGACUCCUACGGGAGGCAGCAGUGGGGAAUUUUGCGCAAUGGGCGAAAGCCUGACGCAGCAACGCCGCGUGAGUGAUGAAGGCUUUCGGGUCGUAAAGCUCUGUCAAUGGGAAAGAAGUGUAUUGGAGCUAAUAUCUCCGAUACUUGACGGUACCCAUAAAGGAAGCACCGGCUAACUCCGUGCCAGCAGCCGCCGUAACAC
rnacentral:rRNA from 1 species